rnacentral:rRNA from 1 species
CACGUAGGGCGCAAGCGUUGUCCGGAAUUAUUGGGCGUAAAGAGCUCGUAGGUGGUUUGUUACGUCUGCUGUGAAAUCCUAGGGCUUAACCCUGGGCUUGCAGUGGAUACGGGCAGACUAGAGGUAGGUAGGGGAGAAUGGAAUUCCUGGUGUAGCGGUGAAAUGCGCAGAUAUCAGGAGGAACACCGAUGGCGAAGGCAGCCCCCUGGGCCAAUACUGACGCUCAUGCACGAAAGCGUGGGGAGCAAACAGG